UACGUAGGUGGCAAGCGUUGUCCGGAUUUACUGGGUGUAAAGGGCGUGCAGCCGGGAGUGCAAGUCAGAUGUGAAAUCCCGCGGCUCAACCGCGGAACUGCAUUUGAAACUGUGUUUCUUGGGUGCUGGAGAGGCAGACGGAAUUCCUAGUGUAGCGGUGAAAUGCGUAGAUAUUAGGAGGAACACCAGUGGCGAAGGCGGUCUGCUGGACAGUAACUGACGGUGAGGCGCGAAAGCGUGGGGAGCAAACAGG
rnacentral:rRNA from 1 species